rnacentral:rRNA from 1 species
UACGUAGGGGGCUAGCGUUGUCCGGAAUCAUUGGGCGUAAAGCGCGUGUAGGCGGUCCGGUAAGUCCGCUGUGAAAGUCGGGGGCUCAACCCUCGGAUGCCGGUGGGAUACUGUCGGGCUUGAGUACGGAAGAGGCGAGUGGAAUUCCUGGGUGUAGCGGUGAAAUUCGCAGAUAGUCAGGAAGAACACCCGUGACGAAGGCAGGACUCCGUCGUGGG